UAAAUCUGACCCAGGGAGGUAGUGACAAGAAAUAACAAUACGGGGCUUUACGUCUUGUAAUUGGAAUGAUGGGAAUCUAAACCUCUUCCAGAGUAUCAAUUGGAGGGCAAGUCUGGUGCCAGCAGCCGCGGUAAUUCCAGCUCCAAUAGCGUAUAUUAAAAUUGUUGCAGUUAAAAAGCUCGUAGUUGAAUUUCUGCUGCAUCGCCUUUUCUCCUUUACGAGUUUUGGCAUUGUGGCUUAUUUCGGAUUUGCUUGCAUUUCCGAAUGUUUACUUUGAGAAAAUUAGAGUGCUCAAAGCAGGCUUUUGCCUUGAAUAGUUUAGCAUGGAAUAAUAAAGUAGGACUUUGGUUCUAUUUUGUUGGUUUUAGGUACCAAAGUAAUGGUUAAUAGGAACAGUUGGGGGCAUUCGUAUUUAACUGUCAGAGGUGAAAUUCUUAGA
rnacentral:rRNA from 1 species